rnacentral:rRNA from 1 species
GACGGAGGGGGCUAGCGUUGUUCGGAAUCACUGGGCGUAAAGGGCGCGUAGGCGGCCCUCUUAGUCGCGUGUGAAAGCCCCGGGCUCAACCUGGGAACGGCGCGCGAAACGGGAGGGCUGGAGUUCGGGAGAGGAGAGUGGAAUUCCCAGUGUAGAGGUGAAAUUCGUAGAUAUUGGGAAGAACACCGGUGGCGAAGGCGGCUCUCUGGACCGAGACUGACGCUGAGGCGCGAAAGCCAGGGGAGCAAACGGG